UGUGGGGUCUGUAGCGCGGUGGUCCCACCUGACCCCAUGCCGAACUCAGAAGUGAAACGCCGUAGCGCCGAUGGUAGUGUGGGGUCUCCCCAUGCGAGAGUAGGGAACUGCCAGGC
rnacentral:rRNA from 1 species